CCUACGGUAGGCUGCAGUGAGGAAUAUUGGUCAAUGGACGCAAGUCUGAACCAGCCAUGCCGCGUGCAGGAAGACGGCUCUAUGAGUUGUAAACUGCUUUUGUACGAGGGUAAACGCAGAUACGCGUCUCUGUCUGAAAGUAUCGGACGAAUAAGGAUCGGCUAACUCCGUGCCAGCAGCCGCGGUAAUACGGAGGAUUCAAGCGUUAUCCGGAUUUAUUGGGUUUAAAGGGUGCGUAGGCGGUCGGAUAAGUUAGAGGUGAAAUCCCGAGGCUCAACUUCGGAAUUGCCUCUGAAACUGUUCGGCUAGAGAGUAGUAGCGGUAGGCGGAAUGUAUGGUGUAGCGGUGAAAUGCUUAGAGAUCACACAGAACACCGAUUGCGAAGGCAGCUUACCAAGCUACUUCUGACGUUGAGGCACGAAAGCGUGGGGAGCAAACAGGAUUAGAUACCCGGGUAGUC
rnacentral:rRNA from 1 species